GAAGGGAUAGCUCAGUGGUAGAGUGUGCCUAGCAUGCAUGAGGUCCUGGGUUCAAUCCCUGGUACCUCCA
rnacentral:tRNA from 1 species